rnacentral:tRNA from 1 species
AAGAUUCUAGUAAAAUAGUAUUACAUCACCUUGUCGAGAUGAAAUUAUGGGUUUAAUCCCCAUGAAUCUUA